UACGGAGGAUUCAAGCGUUAUCCGGAUUUACUGGGUGUAAAGGGAGCGUAGACGGCAGCACAAGUCUGGAGUGAAAUCCCAUGGCUUAACCAUGGAACUGCUUUGGAAACUGUGAAGCUGGAGUGCGGGAGGGGCAGGCGGAAUUCCUGGUGUAGCGGUGAAAUGCGUAGAUAUCAGGAGGAACACCGGCGGCGAAGGCGGCCUGCUGGACCGUAACUGACGUUGAGGCUCGAAAGCGUGGGGAGCAAAAAGG
rnacentral:rRNA from 1 species